CAUUUAGUAGUACAUGUUUAUAUAAAAGGCAUAUAUUCUGUUGCAAAUACUCAACAGGCGAUGUCAACUUUAAUGAUUGGAUUUAUUUAUCAUGUUGAAAAUGUGAAUAAAGCAUUUUAACUCGCUGGGGGGAAACAACUGUUGGGACUACGGGGAUGUUUUUGCUGUGCAUGCGCGGUGGCGUUCUUUUCCAACCGACGCCUAGCCAGCCGUCAGAAUUCAGAAAUGCGUCUGUCUGCCUCAGGUAAUGGAAGACGAGGGUCAAAUCACGUUUACUCUAACAAUUUUACACAGAGUUCUCGCGACUGUCUUCAUAGACGGGAAGGAAACAUGGAGAAAACUAUUCACAGUUGGAAGUGUUGGAGAACUGAUUAACUCAGCCAAAACGGAGCUCUCUCAACAAGUAUCUAUUGAUCGAAUACUGAGAUUUGACACAGAUUUUCAAGAAUUUAUUGACAUCGAUGUUAAUUCAGAAGUGAAGGAGCUUGACAAAUUCCAAAUAUAUUAUACUGCUAGUAUCACACAGGAUCCAUUAGAUGGAAGAUUUCAUUCAACAGAAGUAAGCCGGACUGUCACCAC